GUGCACUUCAGCAGCAAGUAUACUAAAAUUGGAACAACACAGAGAAGGUUUGCAUGGCCCCUGAGAAAGGGUGAUACAUGAGUUUGUGAAGCAUUCCAUAUUUUA
ensembl:snRNA U6 U6 spliceosomal RNA